ensembl:lncRNA
UGUGUGUGUGUGUGUGUAUGGGUGUGUGUGUGUGGUUGUAUGUGUGAGACUGUUUGUUUGUGGGGAGGGAUAGGGGUGUUAAUCCACUGAAUUUAAGGCUCAAAGGAACGCAGGUUUUGCAGCAGUAAUGUCCAGGACUUGAAGACAUCUCUAACAGUGAGUGUGUACCCCCACGUAUGUUCUUCGAUGUUUUGCACGUUGUUCCUGUUCGUCGGCGUUAAUUCGCAGGACGUUCUGUCGGAGGUCAGCCGCCGAGCUGCCGUCGCCUGCGGACAGUUGACCGUGCUCGACGCUACAUAUAUGUUUUCCCACGCCUCUCCUUGUUGUUUUGGUACAACAGGCCCGACUCUUUUAGUUUAAUUUAAUUUCCAUUCAACCAGUGCUACGUUUUUUCUCCCUUUCUACCAAGACCCCCGCUUCCCCUCCACCAAUUAAAUUUAACAAGAGCCCCCUUGAAAAGCAGUUGUUUUGAUUACAUUACAAAUUCUGGGUUCAUUCAGUGAAUCAAGCAAUUAAUUAGAUUUCUCCUAUUCUAAUCAGAAUAUUUGUGCGAAGCGUGCGCCCCUAAUAAACGUCUUUGAGUUGGUUAUCUGUUCUGAGCCGAAACUCAACGCGGGCGGAUGGUGACUCUGGCCUGCGGGGUGAGAGAUGACUGAACGCAACGCAAAGCGCUUUUCGCAGCUCUUUAGCUGUCGAUGCGUAUGAGUGUGCGGUAGGGUGGAUCUCUCUGUCUCCCCCGCCUUUUCUCUUUUUCCUUUUCUCUUUCUCGGUCUCUCUAGUUUUAUCAGGGGUGUGGUUGUGUCCUCAAGGGUUUGGCUUUCACACACACACACACACACACACGCACACACACACACACACACACACACAUGCACGCACACGCGCACACACACACACACACACACACACACACACAUGCACACGCGCACGCGCACACACACACACACACACUCACUGGCCGAGGUGUCAGUUUGUUGUUUUGCUCGGUGACAAUGACUUGCAUUUCUUCCACCCUCUUCGUAUCCCUCUCGACUUAGCACCCUAAGUGCACAUUGUGAGCGUGACACGAGAACCAUAAAGGAUCAGUUCUCCCUGGGAGCAGGUUUAAACGGAUCUCUGAGGGGUGUGCCACCUUGCUCAAGAAUGCCUCCCACCGUCUCCUGCUCCUUUCCUCCGGCGCCCACCUCCUCCCCACACGGGCAGAUCUCCCUCUGGAUUAUCUGGAGGUGAGGGGCCUGCAGAUAGGGAAUCGCUGCAGAGGGUCCGAGGGGGGUGUUGUCGGGUUCCAGGCCUGGCAGGGCGGUCAGUGGUGGUGGUGGUAGUGGUGGUCACAGUGCGGCGCUUGACUGCUUCUGUCUUGGCUCUGUGGACAACAAGCUUAUCUGAGCACUUGGGGAAAAAAAGAGCCCGUCCAUGCCGCGCAACGCUGUAAUUAGCAGACAUUUGUGGCUCUGGAGAGAGAGAGAGAGAGAGAGAGAGAGAGGGAGAGAGGGAGAGAGGGAGAGAGGGAGAGAGGGAGGGAGUCAGAUAGAAAGAGGGAGAGAGAGAGAGAGAGAAUCAACUCCUCAAUGCCCAAAGGGAUAGGCUGGGCGAGAGACACAGGCAGAGCGCAGGGAAAUGAAAGACAACGACAGCAACAUGAAAAGUGGUGCAUCAUAUCAUCGAAAGAAAACAUUUUGUGUCCCUGUUUGUGUGCAUGUGCACGCUAGUGUGCGUUUGAGUCGUUGUGCGUUUAUACCUAUUGAACGCUGUGGGGUUUAUGCAUUCAUUUGUUCCCUAUAACGAGAGAUUCAGCCAUGCUAGGAAAGUAAGAGGCUCUACUGGACUGGAAGUCCCAGUGUCUGCUGUUGUGUGUUGGGUGUGGGGUCCAGAUCUCUAGAACACUUGAUUCUCCUAACCGGCAGGACCGACAAACACUGACACUAUACGCUUCCAGGAACACUGAAGGUGUGUUUGUCUUAGUGUGUGUGUGUGUGUGUGUGUUUGUGUGACGCAUGGCAGUGUGUCAAAGAGAGGUAUCACAUACGGGUUCUCAAUGCUGGAGCCAGCCAGUCAGCCAAGCGCCAACCAAGCCAGCCAGUCAGUCAGUCACCAACCCAGUCAGUCUGCCAUCCAGCCACACAGCCGUUCAGUCAUCCAGUCAGUCAGUCAUCCAGGGAGUGAAGGAGGAGAAGCCUCGCCAAGCCAGCCAGUCAGUCACCCACCCAGUCAGUCAGUCAGUCACCCACCCAGUCAGUCAGUCAGUCAUCCAGGGAGUGAAGGAGGAGCAGCCUCUCCCAGUCAGUCAGUCAGUCAGUCAGUCAGUCAGUCACCCAGUCAGUCAGUCAGUCAGUCAUCCAGGGAGUGAAAAAGGAGCAGCCUCUCCCAGCCAGUCAGUCAGUCACCAAGUCAGUCAGUCAGUCAUCCAGGGAGUGAAAGAGGAGCAGCCUCUCCCAGCCAGUCAGUCAGUCACCCAGUCAGCCAGCCAGCCAGGGAGUGAAGGAGGAGCAGCCUCGCCCAGCUCGCCCCAUCUGUCUGAUGGCUGAAAUGCAAUGCCUUUUAAUGACAAACCCCCCUCCGCCUGGGAGCUCAGCAGCAGCACACUCUGUCUGGGGGUGAGUGAGUGAGCACGGGAGGGAGGAGGAGG